UAAGCGGAGGAAAAGAAACUAACAAGGAUUCCCCUAGUAACUGCGAGUGAAGCGGGAAAAGCUCAAAUUUAAAAUCUGGUGGCCUUUGGUCAUNCGAGUUGUAAUUUAGAGAAGCGUCUUCCGCGCUGGACCAUGCACAAGUCUCCUGGAAUGGAGCGUCAUAGAGGGUGAGAAUCCCGUCUUUGGCAUGGAUGCACCAGGGCUUCUGUGAUGCGCUCUCGAAGAGUCGAGUUGUUUAGGAAUGCAGCUCAAAAUGGGUGGUGAACUCCAUCUAAAGCUAAAUAUUGGCGAGAGACCGAUAGCGAACAAGUACCGUGAGGGAAAGAUGAAAAGCACUUUGGAAAGAGAGUGAAACAGUACGUGAAAUUGUUGAAAGGGAAACACUUGAAGUCAGUCGCGUCGACCGAGACUCAGCCUCGCCUUGGCUUGGUGUACUUCUCGGGCGACGGGUCAGCAUCAAUUUUGCCCCUCGGAUAAUGACAAGGGAAAGGUAGCACCUUUAUGGGUGUGUUAUAGUCUCCUGUCGCAUGCGAGGGUUGGGAUUGAGGAACUCAGCACGCGCCUUUUGGCGUCGGGGCUUCGGCCUACGUACGUGCUUAGGAUGCUGGCGUAAUGGCUUUAAACGACC
rnacentral:rRNA from 1 species